UUAACUGAAAUUUGUAUGGAGCUGAAAAGUUUGCCUACGUUUACCACUAGGGGCGCUAUUACAACACCAUACAAAUUUGAGUUA
rfam:Bombyx mori DNA, contig: Bm_scaf80_contig32801, strain: p50T/Dazao, build 2, whole genome shotgun sequence.